UACGUAGGGGGCAAGCGUUGUCCGGAUUUAUUGGGCGUAAAGAGCGUGUAGGCGGCCAGACAGGUCCGUUGUGAAAACUCGAGGCUCAACCUCGAGACGCCGAUGGAAACCGUCUGGCUAGAGUCCGGAAGAGGAGAGGUGGAAUUCCCGGUGAUAGCGGUGGAAUGACGCAGAUAUCGGGAAGAACACCCGUGGCUAAGGCGGCUCUCUAGUACGGUACUGACGCUGAGACGCGAAAGCGUGGGGAGCGAACGAGGA
rnacentral:rRNA from 1 species